GGGCCCAUAGCUCAGCUGGCUAGAGCACCACGUUUACACCGUGGGAGUCGGGGGUUCAAGUCCCUCUGGGCCCA
rnacentral:tRNA from 1 species